rnacentral:misc_RNA from 1 species
AAGUCGUAACAAGGUUUCCGUAGGUGAACCUGCGGAAGGAUCAUUAAAAAAAUAUUCUACAACACUUUUAGGAAAAAAACACUAAAUAUUAUAUCUUCAACAAAAGUUUAAAAAAAAAACUUUCAACAACGGAUCUCUUGGUUCUC